UUCUUCAGUCCUGCUACAGACAUGGCUCCGGCUGGCGCGCUUCAGUCCUGCUCGUGUUCCGCGCGUCGGUGAUGCUGUGCGUGCAGGUGGGUGCCUUCAGAUGACAUAACAUCGCAGAGGUCUUGAGGUCUGUUGUCAAAGCGAUGACUUAACUCUGAAAUUAAGACGCAGACUGCAGCAGCUGCGAGCGCCGUUUGUCUGGUGGAACUCUUCCGAGGGUCUGUAACGAGAGAGGAGCAGCACAGAGGGAGACACGGCUGGAGCCGAUGGCCAGCAGAUGAACCUCCGAACUCACCAGCAUGGAAUUCUGUGAACGAGGGAAGAGUGAGUCCUGUGUGGAGAGCAGAGCGGAAUGACAGGCUGUGGAGAUGGACACACAAGAGAGAGAGGAAGUUCACAAUCCUCAAAGGCAUUUGGCUGGGGUUGUCUCUCUCUCUCUCUCUCACACAAAACACCUUCCCACUCCCGCUCGGAGAUGGUAAUGUACCAGUAAUUGGUCCCAGUGCUGUGCAUCUGCAUCACCUUUGCCAGCAGGGGGCGUUGGCAGGCUGGCCACAGGUCUGUGUAGUCACUGUGAGAGCACAGCACACUGCUGAUGCUAUGCAAACCAGCACCUUGGUAUGGUUUGGAGUCCCAACACUGCCACACAGAAAGCAAAGUGUGCAUGUGUGUGUGUCGGUAAGCGCUGAAGAGAGUCAGCAUGUAGGGAAGGAGACGGCGUGACUUGUCGUGACUCCUGACUUGGACCUGGACAUUUGUAAAGCUGCUUUGUGACAACAGCUGUUGUAAAAAGUGCUGUGUAAAUAUAUUUGACUUUGACUCA